GCAUCGCAGAGGGUGAGAAUCCCGUCUUUGACAUGGACUGCCAGGGCUCAACAGGUGUGCUCUCGAAGAGUCGAGUUGUUUGGGAAUGCAGCUCAAAAUGGGUGGUAAAUGCCAUCUAAAGCUAAAUAUUGGCGAGAGACCGAUAGCGAACAAGUACCGUGAGGGAAAGAUGAAAAGAACUUUGGAAAGAGAGUUAAACAGUACGUGAAAUUGCUGAAAGGGAAACGCUUGAAGUCAGUCGCGUCAGCUGGAAAUCAACCCUGCUUUUGCUGGGCGCACUUUCCUGUCUGACGGGUCAGCAUCAGUUCUGGUCGCUGGAUAAAGUCCUUGGGAACGUGGCAUCCUUUGGAUGUGUUAUAGCCCACUGGCGCAUGCAGCGGCUGGGAUUGAGGAACUCAGCACGGCCCUUGCGAGAGGGCGAUUGGAGGGAGACCUCACAACUUACGUGCUUAGGAUGCUGGCAUAAUGGCUUUAAUCGACCCGUCUUGAAACACGGACCAAGGAGUCUAACAUGCCUGCGAGUGUUUGGGUGGUGAAAACUCAUGCGCGCAAUGAAAGUGAUGGUUGAGAUCCCUGUCAUGGGGAGCAUCGACGCCCAGACCAGACCUUUUGCGACGGAUCUGCGGUAGAGCAUGCAUGUUGGGACCCGAAAGAUGGUGAACUAUGCCUGAAUAGGGUGAAGCCAGAGGAAACUCUGGUGGAGGCUCGUAGCGAUUCUGACGUGCAAAUCGAUCGUCAAAUUUGGGUAUAGGGGCGAAAGACUAAUCGAACCAUCUAGUAGCUGGUUCCUG
rnacentral:rRNA from 1 species